CACACAGUGACUUAUUAAGUGUUAAGUAUACCUAGAGAAUAAUUUCCACAAAGAGAAAAAUAUACACCCAGAGACUAUUGUCAGCUGUAUAAUGACAUAAAGGAAAAACAACAACAACAACAACUGUCCGUAAUUUAGCGAUGGUGAGUCUCGAGCGAAAAAGAAAAGUGGACCUCUCCUAACAACUUCAAAGGAGAACAUUAUCUUGCAUAGCAUUUUUCUCCGAAGGGAUUGAUUCAAACAAGCACAUUGUGACAAGUAUCCCACUGAAGGCAAGUUCUACAACAAGGAAACUGACUCCACCAAUAUAUCGACGUUCAAAAAGGGCUUGAAUUUGUUUACCGAUCAAAACUGUGCCAUAAGUCAUGAAUCACCCUCCAAUUAAAACAAAACAUAUGGAGAAGUCAAUCACUUUCAAAUCAAGUAACAAUUUAAGAUAUGAGACGAUUCUAAUGACGACAAUGAAUAUGGAGAAAUAUAAUGUACUUGAAAAUGUUUAAUGGAAAUAGAGGAAUGUGAAACUUUUUUGUAUUUAUUUGGUGCUCAUGAAGGCUUUGUCAUUGAUAAGGCAGAUAAGUUGAUUUAUUUCUUUGUUUUCAACAAAGAGAAAAGUUGAAAAGAAAACGUUUUAGGAGUACUAAAAGAUGUUAUAGAAAUAUUUGAGAUAGAAUGUAAAAACUGGCCCUUCUUAGGGUCUGCUAAUUUAGGACUAAAAUAAAAUAAAAACAUAUAAUCGACUUCUUUUCGUGAAUCGAUUGAUGGAUUUUUUUCUGUAGCAUUAUUAAAAGGUCCUCGCAUUAAACACGGUUGGGGUUAUAGGAAUGGUCUCCUUCUGACAUAUAUGAGCCAUAUAACUCAAACCUAGACUGAAAGAUUUUUAGCUAACCUUAGCACAAAGUGCUCAAAGGUGAGCUUUUGUGAUCGCCCUGUGUCUGUCGUCGUCAACAAUUUGACUGUUAGCACUCCAGAAGUCACAAUUUUGGUCUAAUCUUAAUGAAACUUGGUCAGAAUGUUACCCUCAAUAAAAUCUUGGACGUGUUCGAUAAUGGGUCAUCUGGGGUCAAAAGCUAGGUCACCAGGUCAAAUCAAAGGAAAAGCUUGUUAACACUCUAGAGGUUACAAUUUUGGCCCAAUCAUAAUGAAACUUGGUAGAAAUGUUACCCCAAAUAAAAUCUUGGAUGAGUUUUAUUUUUUGUAUAAUCUGGUUUCAAAAACUAGGUCACAAGGUCAAAUAUAAAAGCAAGGAGUGGACUGUUAGAGGGAAGGAAAAAGCCGCAAAAAUAUUGGCAGGGCUCCAGAUAAGUCUUAAAGAUGCGUAUUAGUGUAAAUUACGCUUUGAAAUAAUGCAUAUACGCAUGUGCGAUCAUUUUUAAGCGUAUAAAAACGUAUAAGAAAUUACAGAAACUCCUGCAAUGACUUUUUACUAGCGUAAACAAACUCUGAAUCAUCUAAAGUCCUUACGUAACAAAGCACGGUCAGCAUUCUAAAGCGGUGUCGAUCUAAGAUUGUAAAAAGUGAACAAACACUACGCAUCUUUAAACCAACAAGAACGAUCAUUAAAACAUAUUUAAAGCUAUAUUGAGUAUCGUAUUGUAAGCCAAAGUAAAGUAAAACCAAGGGAGAACAAAAAGCAAAAACUUGAAUGCUGAAUUGAAACUGAACUGCAAACAAAUUCAUGGGUGUUACACCAAAUUAAUAAAUUUAUAUGUUAUAAAACCGUUUUCUUUUUGUUUUUACAUUACAAAUUUUCAAGAGUAAAAUUACUCUUAGUAAAUUUCAGAUUUUACCAUUUUACUCAUUCACAAAAAUUAUGAUGAGUAAACACUCACAGGCCAACAAAAUUAUCUGGAGCCCUGUAUUGGUCAUUGAAAAGUGCAGUUGAGUCAGGGAAAAGUCAGGAAAUAGUUUGGGAAAUUCAUUUUCUCAACUAAGUGGCAACCCUGAGAAACUGUAUAAUAUAUGUUUGUACUAAGCUUACUACAAUACUUAUCACAUAAUUGUGUUUUUACUGUGCAAGACUAGAAGAUGCAAUGAAAAGAACAGCAUAUUGCAUUUGUAUAUUAACUUGAAAAUAUUUUAACUGUAUGCAAGUUUCUUGUGUGAAUUUAUUUUUUAUUCAGUUCAUCAUGUUCAUGUCCUGAAAACCUAGGUUGUCAUUUCGUUUCGAACAACAUAGGAAGCAAGGGAUUUAAAUAUAAAUUGUGACUUUAGAUUCCGAGAAAUAGUGUUUUCAAACUACGAUGAUCACUCUACUGGUACUUGAAAACAAUUUUUUACGGUUCUAAUAUUUUAUUGGGUUAUUCAAAAAUGUUACAUUAGUAUGAUUGUUUUAGCCAUUUCAUCCAUUAAGUAAACUUAACAUAAAAAGUAUUGGGUGAAGUGCUGUUUGUAGGUAAAAAAGUGUACUUUAUAUAGCAGGGCCUCAACUGGGCCUCAGAAAGUUAUAGCCACUUUUUUUAGCUCACCAGAGCUGAAGACUCAGGGUGAGCUAUUCUGAUCACUCACCGUCCGGCUUCGGCUUCUGUCCGUAAACUUUUACUUUAAACCGCUAGGCCAAUUUCAUCAAAACUUCACAAGAAUGUUCCUUGGGUGAAGCUGUACAAAAAGUGUUCGAAGAAUUGAAUUCCAUGCAGAACCGAAAGGAAAAACUUUAAAAAUCUUCUUUUCAAAAACAAGAAGCCCUAGAGCUUAGAUAUUUGGUGUGAAGCAUUGCCUAGUGGACCUCUACCAAAUUUGUUCAAAUCAUGACCCUGGGGUCAAAAUUGACCCCGCCCCAGGGGUCACUUGAUUUUACAUAGGAAAAUCUUAAAAAUCUUCUUCUCAAAAACCAGAAGCCCUAGAGCUUAGAUAUUUGACAUGUAGCAUUGCCUAGUGGACCUCUACUAAAGUUGUUCAAAUCAUGACCCCGGGAUCAAAAUUGACCCCGCCCCAGGGGUCACUUGAUUUUACAUCGAUUUCUAUAGGAAAAUAUUCAAAUUU